AUACAGAAACAGCGAUGAGACCGUGGUCUCUUAUUACCACGUGACUAAUCAGAACGAGGCUACUUUCAUUUUUGCAUUGCCUACGUGCAGCAUGGGAUCAUUGAUAAUUAAGCCCUAUGGUAUCUUCAGAUUACAGCCUAUUAAGCUGGAAUGCCCCACACAUUAUGGAUGAUAAUUUUGUGAAUUAGAGCAGUUCUUUCUCGAGAGGGGCCUUCAUUUUUCUGGACAUCAGAAUUUUAUAUCAAUGGAUUGUCCAGGAAUUGCCAUACAGAAGGUGUUCAUGAAGCAGCUUCCUGGAUGGUGUGUAGUCUGUUUGUCAGCAUGUGAAGCCCAGGUGUAUAUCAAGCUGUACAGCGACUAUCAGAAUUUAGGAGCAAAUCAAAGAUCUGAUUUUAAUCAGAUUGAUUUCAAGGAAGUAGUAGUCUCCCCUGUUAAAGAUCAGUAAUGGUGGAUAUACAAUGCUGGAUGCAGUCUGGUCAUCAACAGAGAGUUUUGACACCUGUAAUUUGCCUCUGUAACCUUUGCUGUGUUUAUCAGACAGAUGAUGAAUCAGUCUACUUCUUUUUACAAGAAGUGCCCCUCCAGACUCACAAAGAUCCAAUGUUGGGUUUCCAUGACACCUAUUCAGUGAGUGCACAGUUUAAUGUCUAAUGCAUGUUGGCAACUGAUGCUGGUUCUAUUUUCACCAAGAAGCAUACCAUGCAUACCACCGGUAACCAAGUGACGGACAGGCAUAACCACACUUAUCUCAUAACCUCUUUGUAAAACUUUUCUUGGUGACUGGUAAAGUGACAUUUUUACAAUAGAUAGAAAGGAUCCAUGCCUGGCCUUGUUUUUCCUCCCCAUGCUGAUUCCAGUCCAGUGAACCAUCACAAACUUGAAACUUUGCGAUGUACCCUUCCUUAUGAUUUGUCCUUGCCCAAACAGCCAAUGCAAUGAA